AUGCAGGUGCCUCACGGCACUUGCAAUUGGAAUGAGUGUGGUCUAAACAUCCUAGCGAGGAUCAAUUGGAGGACAAGUCUGGUGCCAGCACCCGCGGUAAUUCCAGCUCCAAUAGCGUAUAUUAAAGUUGUUGCAGUUAAAACGCUCGUAGUCUUAGUCAGGGGUCUCGCCAAGAUGGUCUGCUGGGGACAGCGUGCACUGCUUGGCGAACCUCUUAACUCGCGACUGGAGUCCAUCUGGUCUUAACUGGCUGGGUGGUCAACUCCUCGCGACGUUUACCAUGAGCAAAUUAGAGUGCUCUAGGCAGGCGCGACACGCUUGAAUAGUUUAGCAUGGGAUAACAGAACAGGACCCUGUCUUGUUCGUUGGUUAGCGAGACAGUGUAAUGAUCAACGGGAAUUGUCGGGGGCAUUUAUACCGCGAGGGGAGGGGUGAAAUCCUUGGAUCCUCGCGAGAUAAACUACUGCGAAAGCAUUUGCCAAGUAUACUUCCGUCGAUCAAGAACGAAAGUUUGGGGAUCGAAGACGAUCAGAUACCGUCGUAGUCCAAACUAUAAACGAUGGCGACCGUGGCUUGAGUGUCGUUACUCGAGACCUUCCCAGGACACAGCGAGAAAUCAGAGUUUUUGGCUUCCGGGGGGAGUAUGGUCGCAAGGCUGAAACUUAAAGGAAUUGACGGAAGGACACCACCAGGAGUGGAGCCUGCGGCUUAAUUUAACCCAACACGGGAAAACUCACCAGGUCCAGACAUAGUGAGGAUGGACAGAUUGAACGCUCUUUCUUGAUUCUAUGGGUGGUGGUGCAUGGCCGUUCUUAGUUCGUGGAUUGAUUUGUCUGGUUUAUUCCGAUAACGAACGAGAUCUCAACCUGCUAACUAGUUAGUCGAGUAGCCUGUACGAGUGAAUGCGAGAGUCUGCACGGUCCUCGUGGCUGGGUGGCUCUCGUUGGAUCUCUGGCUGGCUUGCGCUGUAACUUCUUAGAGGAACAACACUGUUCCAACGGUGAGGAAGUUUGAGGUAAUAACAGGUCUGUGAUGCCCUUAGAUGUUCUGGGCUGCACGCGCGCUACACUGAUGGUUCGAAUAAGUCCCCUCGGCUGAAAGGCCUGGGAAAUCUGUUAGUCAUCAUCGUGCUGGGGAUAGAUCAUUGCAAUUGUCGGUCUUGAACGAGGAAUUCCUAGUAAGCGCGAGUCAUCAGCUCGCGUUGAUUACGUCCCUGUCCUUUGUACACACCGCCCGUCGCUCCUACCGAUUGAAUGGUCCGAUGAAAGCUGCGGAUCACGGGGCAAUGUUCGCGCAGAACCUCGAGAGAAGCUGUUUGAAUCUUAUCAUUUAGAGGAAGGAGAAGUCGUAACAAGGU
rnacentral:rRNA from 1 species